CCUACGGGAGGCAGCAGUGGGGAAUAUUGGACAAUGGGGGAAACCCUGAUCCAGCGACGCCGCGUGAGUGAAGAAGUAUUUCGGUAUGUAAAGCUCUAUCAGCAGGGAAGAAAAUGACGGUACCUGACUAAGAAGCCCCGGCUCACUACGUGCCAGCAGCCGCGGUAAUACGUAGGGGGCAAGCGUUAUCCGGAUUUACUGGGCGGAAAGGGAGCGUAGACGGUGCAGCAAGUCUGAUGUGAAAGGUCGGGGCUCAACCCCGGGACUGCAUUAGAAACUGUUGAACUGGAGUACAGGAGAGGUGAGCGGAACUCCUAGUGUAGCGGUGAAAUGCGUAGAUAUUAGGAGGAACACCAGUGGCGAAGGCGGCUCACUGGACUGUAACUGACGCUGAGGCUCGAAAGCGUGGGGAGCAAACAGGAUUAGAUACCCGUGUAGUC
rnacentral:rRNA from 1 species